UACGUAGGGGGCAAGCGUUGUCCGGAUUUAUUGGGCGUAAAGCGCUCGCAGGCGGUCCGAUGCGUCGUGCGUGAAAGCCCCCGGCUCAACUGGGGAGGGUCGUGCGAUACGGUCGGACUUGAGGCCAGUAGGGGGAUGCGGAAUUCCGGGUGUAGCGGUGAAAUGCGUAGAUAUCGGGAGGAACACCUGUGGCGAAAGCGGCGCACUGGACCACAACUGACGCUGAGGCGCGAAAGCUAGGGGAGCAAACGGG
rnacentral:rRNA from 1 species